rnacentral:rRNA from 1 species
UGGGGAAUAUUGGACAAUGGGCGCAAGCCUGAUCCAGCCAUGCCGCGUGAGUGAUGAAGGCCUUAGGGUUGUAAAGCUCUUUCACCCGGGACGAUAAUGACGGUACCGGGAGAAGAAGCCCCGGCUAACUUCGUGCCAGCAGCCGCGGUAAUACGAAGGGGGCUAGCGUUGUUCGGAAUCACUGGGCGUAAAGCGUACGUAGGCGGACCGUUAAGUCGGAGGUGAAAUCCUGGGGCUCAACCCCAGAACUGCCUUCGAUACUGGCGGUCUCGAGUCCGGGAGAGGUGAGUGGAACUGCCAGUGUAGAGGUGAAAUUCGUAGAUAUUGGCAAGAACACCAGUGGCGAAGGCGGCUCACUGGUCCGGUACUGACGCUGAGGUACGAAAGCGUGGGGAGCAAACAG